GCGCACGUGGUGAAAUUGGUAGACACGCCACCUUGAGGGGGUGGUGGGGGCAACCCUGUGGAAGUUCGAAUCUUCUCGUGCGCA
rnacentral:tRNA from 1 species